rnacentral:lncRNA from 1 species
UGAUUUGGUGGUGUGAUUAGUUGGGUGCUAUGGUAGGAUGUGGUUGUAUCAUAUGCAUCAUCGAUUUUAUGGUAAAAUGUAGUGGCGGCAUAUGUUUGUUGGUGGUAUGAGUCAUGCUCUUGAUUUUGUGUUUGGGUGUGUAGCGUAAAUUGAUCGCGGGUUUUAGUGUAUGUGGGUUGGUAAUCGUGUUCGGUUGGUUGUUAGGUGUAUGUGGUUUGG